CCUACAACUUGCAAUCCUUCUGCCUCAUCUUCCUGUGUUGCUGAGAUUACAGCCAUCUGGAGUUAGGUGCAUCUAUGUGGGUGCUUUGAGAAACUGUCAUCAAAAUGGAGUUAGAACUGAUAAGAACAACAACAACAACAACAAAAUGAGGUUAGAUGUGCAAGGGAAACACAGGGAACAAAGGAGGAAGAAGCCAGAGUCACAGUGACUCUGUGAAGGAGAGAGAAAAGGGUUGGAUAAGAAGAAUCUUAGACUUCAGCCCAAAUCCAAGAAAGUGCAACCGGACUCAUGAAGAGUCCUUGAGCUGGAGUCACCCAUCAGAGAGGAGUUCCACAUCUCUCAAGUCAGGCAAGGGAUGCUGUCUACUACAUCAUAGUGUCCCCUUUAUGAGGGCCCAAGAGAAACAGCUCCCAUGGCUCAGAGUCAGGCAAAGCUACUCCUCCUGCACAACUGGUGCUGUGUUGGAUCUUAUGAGGAACAUCAGAUAAGCAGAGAGACUGGUUUUCUGGUACGUUUGUUUCACACACUGCCAGCCCACACUAGAUGCCAGGGCCCUGAUAAAGCUGACCACCGGUCCUCAAGCCAUGGUCCCAGACCCGGCAGCAUCCGCAUCCCCAGGCAGCUCCUUAGGAUGCCAAAUUCUCAGGUCACACCCUAGACUUUUGGAAACAGAAACUCCGGGGUCUGUCAGUCUGUUUUACGCAGACCUCCGGGGAUGCACGAUGGAGUUUGAAUGGGAGG